GAUGAAGAACGUAGCAAAAUGCGAUACUUGGUGUGAAUUGCAGAAUCCCGUGAACCAUCGAGUUUUUGAACGCAAGUUGCGCCCGAAGCCUUUUGGCCGAGGGCACGUCUGCCUGGGCGUCACGCAUCGCGUCGCCCCCCACAAUUCUCCGUAAAGGGAACGUGUGUUUUGGGGGCGGAUAUUGGUCUCCCGUGCUCAUGGCGUGGUUGGCCAAAAUAGGAGUCCUUUCGAUGGACGCACGAACUAGUGGUGGUCGUAAAAACCCUCGUCUUUUGUUUCGUGCUGUUGCUCGCAAUGUAAACUCUUUAAAAACCCCAAUGUGUCGUCUCUUGACGACGCUUCGACCGCGACCCCAGGUCAGGCGGGACUACCCGCUGAGUUUAAGCAUAUCAAUAAGCGGAGGA
rnacentral:misc_RNA from 1 species